rnacentral:rRNA from 1 species
GUACUGUGCGAACGUUAUUCGGAAUCACUGGGCUUAAAGGGUGCGUAGGCGGUUGAUUAAGUAGGGUGUGAAAGCUCUCGGCCUAACCGAGGAAUUGCGCUCUAAACUGAUCAACUUGAGUGAGAUGGGGGUGUGUGGAACUUCCAGUGGAGCGGUGAAAUGUGUUGAUAUUGGAAGGAACGCCGGUGGCGAAAGCGGCACUCUGGGUCUCAACUGACGCUGAGGCACGAAAGCCAGGGUAGCGAACGGGGGAUUAGAUACCCCGGUAGUCCUGGCUGUAAACGAUGAGCACUAGACGGGAGGGGGCUUCGGCCCCAUCCCGGUCGCAGCGAAAGCAAUAAGUGCUCCGCCUGGGGAGUAUGGUCGCAAGGCUG